CCCCCUUCGUGAGGCACACGCCGGUAAUGAGUGUUUAUACUAUAAAUGCGGCGACACCAACAACAAAUAUAACAGUAUCAACAACAACAACGACGACGACGGCAGUAAUAGUGACGACGACGGCUACGUCGACAACAAUAACGGCGCCGGCGGUUGCCGUGUCGCCUGAAGCUGCACCUGGUUGGAUAGAAUUUUGUGAGAGACACGCCCGCGCUUCAGCUUCUGAUUUUGCCAAGGCUUUUUGUACUUACGUCAGUUUAAAUUUACCCGAAAGCGCUAGAUCAAAUCUUUCCCACCGUGAUUUUUUAAGGAAAUUUGUCGAAAGCUUUUGUGAACAUUUCGAAAGCGAAUAUCUGCGCCGUACGAUUAGGUCACCAUCUUUAUAUGAUACAAGACAUACACUAACUAAUGAUAGGGAUAUUAAUGUUGUGAGUCAAAAUAAUAAUGCUCCUGUUCGUAUCUCAUCUCAUGAAGAAUUCAGUGAUUAUUCCGAGCAUGAUGGAGAUGCAAUAUCACCAAAACCAACACAUAAGCCUUUUUUCCGCCGUUUAUCUUUCAAAGGCCUUAAAAAGGGUAAAAGCUUCUUUCAUAAACAACAAAGUGAUGAGGUGGAAUUAUCACAUAGUGAACAUCGCAGAGAUAAACAUUCAAAAGCUAAACUUUCUAAAAUCGUGGUGGAAUGUAGAAAAGAAGGCAUUGUUAAUUCCUUGAUGGGAGAAAAUAUUGAUGGAACUCAGAAAUGGGAGAAAUCAAGACUUGCCUUAAUAAAAGCAAUUGGUGGAUAUAUGUUAGAAUUUUAUUCUCCUCCAAAAGCAGUAAAGCCACGUAGUGGUGUAUUUUGUUCUGCGAUAACUGAAGCCAGAGAAACAACUGCAUUAGAAAUGCCAGAUCAUGAAAAUACAUUUGUAUUAAAAACACAGAAUAUGGAAUUUGUAAUAGAAGCUCAUGAUUCAAACGAUAUGAGAUCAUGGUUAGCUACUAUUAAAUAUUGUAUGCGUACAGUGCAACAAACUUUUAUUAAUCCUAGUUCUGGAACAGAUGCUUCUGGAGAUUCCUUAGGUCAUGGUUCAUUAACUAUUGUUAAUGAAGGAGAUAGACUGAGAACUAACUCUGCAAGUAAAAGUUCUCGAUCUACGGCUCAUGAGCAUGGAGAUGAAACACCCAGUAAUCCUCCUGAGAUACCUCCAAGACUUCGUGUGAGAAGUAACAGUAAUUUAGAAUUAUGUUCAUCACAACAAGAUAUUGAACAAAAUGAUGGUGAAUUGGAUUUAUCAAGUAGUUUAAGGGAAUAUCCAUGGUUUCACGGAACUCUUCCUAGAUCAGAUGCAGCACAGCUUGUUUUACAUAGUGCUGCUAAUGGUCAUGGUGUAUUUCUUGUUCGGCAAAGUGAAACAAGAAAAGGAGAGUUUGUGUUAACAUUUAAUUUUCAAGGCAGAGCAAAGCAUUUACGUAUGACGUUAAAUGAUCAAGGACACUGUAGAGUUCAACAUCUUUGCUUUCCUGCAAUAUAUGACAUGCUUGAACAUUUUCGUCAAAAUGCUAUACCUCUUGAAUCAGGUGGAACAGCAGAUGUAACUUUAACAGAAUUUGUCGUAGCAAAUCAUGCCAUACGCUCAGGACAUCAUAAUGUAGCUGGAGUAAAUCAACAACAAUUGCAAGAAAGAAGACCUCCAGCAGCUCCAGAGCCAAGAGAAGUGCGCACAUAUGGAGGUUCUAUACGAACACGUACAGAAUCACUGGAGAGACUGGAACAACAAAAUAACAUUAUUGAACAACAAAGUUCAUCAUUAUCUAGUGGUAGAGCAAUUCAAAACACUUACAGUUUUCUUUGACGUUGGAUUCACAAUACUUUACCAUCAGGCUAUAAUCCAGUUAGUUCUUUAGAUUAAAUAUUUUUCCUAUCAAUUUAUUUCAUAAGCAAAAACAAGGCCUUAAGCUUACCCGUUGCCAUUAUUUAAAAACAUGAUUAAAAAAAAUAUAAUUGUUUUAAUGUUUUUUUUUUUUUUUGACGGCAAAAGUUUUUCGAGAAUUUUAUUUAUUGAUUUGUUUUCCCGAUCUGUUAUAAAAAAUUAAAAAUUUGAAAUGUAAAUAGAGCUUGUGAGCUGCACUUUUUUUGCACGUUCAGAUAUAUCAGCUCAAAGUAUUAAAUAAUAAUUAAGAAUAUCGCGGCCUGUUUAUCAUUAUUCUAUUACAGUAAUAUGAUGUAAUAUGAAGUAAUAUGGACUAAUAUGGAAAAUAUUCUAAAAUUAUGGAAAAUUAUUCAUCAUACCAAUUAAUUUACUUAGGUAUAUGUCCUUUUUAUACAUAUACAUAUAUAUAUAUUUAUAUAUACAUAUAUAUAAUGUAAUUACAAAAAUCGUUUUGAUAUGAUUCUAUUUCUUUUUUUAUAGAUUACAGAAUAUAAUAGUAGCAGAUAAUACUAUAAUUGAACUUUAUUUAAAAAUUUAAACUAGUCUUAAUCUUAUAUCUAAUUAGUAUCUCAAAAUUUUUAAGCAAAAGAUACAAUUGUAAUGUUAUAUCUGUGCAAAAUUAAAAUAUAUAUAAUUGUGCAUUGUUUCAUAGUAAAAGUACUAGAUUUUAUAAUAAAUUAAGUGCUAAAACAUAUUAAACUUAUUAGUAUAUAAGAAUUAUUCAUAUUAUAGAGCAAUAUGGCUGAAUGUGCAAAAUUAGAUUAUAAAUAAGUGUAUUAACUACCCAAAUGCAUGAAAUUCACAGAAAGCAUGUGAAUAUUUUUUUUACAAAUGUUGAACUGAUUUUUAUUAUUGGUCCUAUUUAUAGCAGUAAAAUUUGACUGUUUUAAUACAGUUUGCGUACAUUCUUUUCUUUAAAGAAAUAUCUCUAUGAACAAUAACUGUUGAUUUGAAUA